UACGUAGGGUGCGAGCGUUAAUCGGAAUUACUGGGCGUAAAGCGUGCGCAGGCGGUUCUCCAAGUCCGUUGUGAAAGCCCCGGGCUCAACCUGGGAAUGGCAGUGGAAACUAGGGGACUUGAAUCUGGCAGAGGGGGGUGGAAUUCCACGGUGUAGCAGUGAAAUGCGUAGAUAUGCGGAGGAACACCGAUAGCGAAGGCAAUCCCCGUGGGCCUGCACUGACGCUCGAUGACACGAA
rnacentral:rRNA from 1 species